UCAUUUUGGAGCUCAAUUAGCUAAUUAUGUCAUUUUGGAGGAUAAUUAGCUAAGUAUGUCUUNNNNNNNNNNGAACAAAGAGGAGAAGAAAUAGGAGAAGGAGAAGUAGAAGAAGAGGGAGAAGAAGAAGAAGGAGGAGGAGGAGAAGAAGAAGGAGAAGAAUAAGGCGAAGAAGCAGCAGCAGAAGAAGAAGAAGAAGAAGAAGAAGAAGAAGAAAAAGAAGAAGAAGAAGGAUAAGA
rnacentral:lncRNA from 1 species